rnacentral:rRNA from 1 species
GAUCCUGGCUCAGGAUGAACGCUGGCGGCGUGCCUAACACAUGCAAGUCGAACGAAGGCUUGACGGAUGAUUUCUUCGGAAUGAAACCAGAUAUGACUUAGUGGCGGACGGGUGAGUAACACGUGAGCAACCUGCCUUUCGAGAGGGGGAUAACGGCUGGAAACGGUCGCUAAUACCGCGAUGACGUGUUCGGAUGGCAUCAUCUGAACAUCAAAGAUUUAUCGCUGAAAGA